UACGAAGGGGGCUAGCGUUGCUCGGAAUCACUGGGCGUAAAGGGUGCGAAGGCGGGUCUUUAAGUCAGGGGUGAAAUCCUGGAGCUCAACUCCAGAACUGCCUUUGAUACUGAGGAUCUUGAGUCCGGGAGAGGUGAGUGGAACUGCGAGUGUAGAGGUGAAAUUCGUAGAUAUUCGCAAGAACACCAGUGGCGAAGGCGGCUCACUGGCCCGGUACUGACGCUGAGGCACGAAAGCGUGGGGAGCAAACAGG
rnacentral:rRNA from 1 species